CCCUUAGAUGUUCUGGGCCGCACGCGCGCUACACUGAGUGGAUCAGCGGGUCAGGUUGCGCGAAAGCGUUUCCUAAUCUUUAAAUCCGCUCGUGAUGGGGAUUGACGGUAGCAAUUUUCUGUCAUGAACGAGGAAUACCUUGUAAGCGCGGGUCAUCAUCCCGCGCUGAAUACGUCCCUGCCCUUUGUACACACCGCCCGUCGCUCCUACCGAUUGAGUGGUCCGGUGAGGCUUUGGGAUCUGAGCGGAAAGAGCGUUUCGCUGUUUCUGCUCGGAAAACUCAGUCGAACCUUAUCAUUUAGAGGAAGGAGAAGUCGUAACA
rnacentral:rRNA from 1 species